GUUGAUGUGGGCCAGCAGCUGAGUCUGCAACCGCUCCACCUUUCCCUGGUCCCGCCUUUAGCUUCUCCAGCUCUUGGGCCAGGCCUUCUUUUGGAAGAGCAUCAGUGCUUGGCUCCAAGAAAACUAAGCCAAAAUCUGUCACGGUCUCUGAAUGCUGACAGGGCCACUAAGGAACAUGGAAGCCAGUCAACAUGGAUCAACCUAUUUUCUUGACAUAUCCUAAAGGCUGGAUCAGAUUGAUCCACCAACAAUUCAACUGAACUUCUACCUUGGGACAAGGAAACCCAUCAAUCGAUAGCCCCAACAUUGUCUGAGAUACACUAAGUCACUCCCAUUGUAUAAGUUUCUUCAAAAGAGAACGUCAAACAUCUUUUGUACUAAGAAAGAA
rnacentral:lncRNA from 1 species